GAUGAAGAACGUAGCGAAAUGCGAUAAUUAAUGUGAAUUGCAGAAUUCCGUGAAUCAUCGAGUUUUUGAACGCAUAUUGCGCCCCUUGGUAUUCCGAGGGGCAUGCCUGUCCGAGCGUCAUUGCAACCCUUCAAGCACGGCUUGUGUGUUGGACGGCCGCCCCAGUGUGGGCGGGUCCCAAAUGCAGUGGCGGCGCCGCGAUCCGGGUGCUCGAGUGCAUGGAAACCACGCGCUCGUUAGGCCCCGUCGGGCGCCGGCCGACCUAAUUAUCUUCGUUCUGGUUGACCUCGGAUCGGGUAGGAAUACCCGCUGAACUUAAGCAUAUCAAUAAGCGGAGGA
rnacentral:misc_RNA from 1 species